ANUGGGCACGCCUGACGCAGCGACGCCGCGUGAGCGAAGAAGGCCUUCGGGUUGUAAAGCUCUGUUGGGGGGAAAGAAGCCAAUGACGGUACCCCCUGAGGAAGCCCCGGCUAACUCCGUGCCAGCAGCCGCGGUAAGACGGAGGGGGCAAGCGUUGUCCGGAAUUACUGGGCGUAAAGGGCGCGUAGGCGGCGCUUUAAGUCGGUUGUGAAAGCCCCGGGCUCAACCCGGGGAGGCCAGCCGAGACUGGGGCGCUUGAGGGCAGGAGAGGGAAGUGGAACUGCCGGUGUAGCGGUGGAAUGCGUAGAUAUCGGCAGGAACACCCGCGGCGAAGGCGGCUUCCUGGACUGCUCCUGACGCUGAGGCGCGAAAGCCAGGGGAGCGAACGGGAUUAGAUACCCCGGUAGUCCUGGCCCUAAACGAUGGUCACUAGGUGUCGGGGGUAUCGACCCCCCCGGUGCCGCAGCCAACGCAUUAAGUGACCCGCCUGGGGAGUACGGCCGCAAGGUUGAAACUCAAAAAAAUUGACGGA
rnacentral:rRNA from 1 species